GAUCGCGGUUCGUUUUGCACAAUGCGAGGACAAUUGCGCGGAAAGAAGUGACGGUCCAAAAUAAUUUCUGCAAUUUCUGUUAUUUUUUACCCGCCGAUUCGCUAAAUUUUAGGCCAGAGAUUAGAAGAUUUUUAGAGAUGAUUUGACUCUUCCUUCUUUCCUUUUCUUUUCUUUUUUUCCCCUUCCCCUCUCCUCCGUUCGUUGAAAUUUCUCGAAUGUGCGCGGAACGACGACGGGACGAAUGCGGGAUCAAGAAUGAUCCUGGAAUAAUGGGAGGCGGCCCGUCAACAAAAUUAAACAAUAUAUCGUUCAACAAAUAGAAUUCGUAAAAAUGCGCCGCCUCCUUCGAAGAUCGUUCUCGAACUCCAACGCUUCCAACCUCGCCGUGUUGCUCUUGUU